rnacentral:rRNA from 1 species
AAUAAAAGAAAAAAAAGUAUUUGACGAAUAUCUUGCCAACUUUGAAAUGGUCGUUUAAUACGAAAUAUAUUUUGAAAAUAAUAAUAAUUUUUUUAAAAAUAUGUUACCAAAGAGGGAAACCUUAAGUAAAUUUUAGUUAAAAUUUAGUGAACUGAACCAUCUAAGUAACUAAAAAAAAUAAAUAAAAAUAGAUUCUGUAAGUAGUGGCGAACGAAAGCAAAUAAGCUAAAAUAAACUUUUUAUAUUUUUUUUUAAAAUGCUUUUGAAAAUGCAACAAAAAGAGUUUAAGUCUCGUAUAAAAAAAAAGUAAAGAGGUUUUGAGUAAAAUAAUUAAUUUUGUUUGAAUAUUGUAAUUCCAUUUACAAAAGUUAAAAUGAAAAGUUGAGCGAUAGUGAAAAAGUACUGUGAAGGAAAGAUGAAAAGAACUUUUAUAUAAAGAGUGAAAAAGAUUUUGAAAUCAAAUACUAAGGCAGCAAUUUAAGCAUUUUUUAGUGUGAAAGUGUACCUUUUGCAUAAUGGGUCAGUGAGUUAAUUAUUUUGGCAAAGUUAAUUUUUUUUUUAAAAAAAGCUAUAAUUAAUUUGUUUUAGUCAAAGUAAUUAUUACCCGAAACCAAGUGAUCUAGUCAUGAAUAGGUUGAAAUUAAUUAAAAAUUGAUGAAGGACCGAACCCGUACAUGUUGAAAAAUGUUGGGAUAAUUUGUGAUUAGGGGUGAAAGGCUAAUCAAACUUGGAAAUAGCUGGUUUUCUACGAAAUUUAUUUGAGUAAAGCUCAAAAAAUAAAAUUUAUUUCAUGUAGAGUACUACAUUAAAUUUUUAAAUUUAUGUAAACUUCGAAUGGAAAUAAAGUUUUUUUUGAAGACAGAUAAAAAGCGAUAAGGUUUUUUAUCAAAAGAGAAAGAGCUCUAAUUAUAAGUUAAGGUUUUUAAAUUACAUUUAAGUUAAAAAGAAUUUUUUUGGCAAAAAAAAAUAGGAGGUAAGCUUAGAGGCAGCUAUCCUUUAAAGAAAGCGUAACAGCUCACUGUUUUUAAUGUUUUUAAUUUUUCUAAAAUUCAACGAAAAUAAAAUGUAUACCGAAACUAUAAAACAUUUUUUGUUGGUAGUAGAACGUUCAAUAUAUUUUUAAUUUGUUAAAGUUUACAUUUGAAAUGAAUAUACUGGCAUAAGUAGCGUUAAUAAUGUUAAAAAACAUUAUCAUCUUAAGUUUAAGGUUUCUAAUGCACGGAUAAACCGCAUUAGGUUAGUCGGUCCUUUAGAUGCUUAUGAAAAUAAUAAUUGAUGGGUAACAGAUUUAUAUUUCUGUACUACUUGUAGGUGACAAAAAAUUUUAUUUGCAUUCUUGUUUAAAAAAAAGUUUGUAAUCUAAAUUUUUUCUAGAAAAAACACAAGUUAAAAAACCGUACUAAACCCGACACAGGUAAACUAGUGUAGUACACUAAGAUGUUUGGCAGAAUAAUACUGAAGGAACUCGGCAAAAUAACUCUGUAACUUCGGGAGAAAGAGUACUUAAUUAUUUUAUUGAAAUUUAUUAAGUGAAACAGAUUAGGGGAUGGCGACUGUUUAACAAAAACACAGGACUUUGCAAAAUUGAAAAAUGAUGUAUAAGGUCUGACACCUGCCCGGUGCUGUAAAAGUAAAGUUUUUUGUUUAUGCUCAAAAUGGAAAUAAUAGUAAACGGCAGCUGUAAAUAUAACGGUUCGAAGGUAGCGAAAUUCCUUGUCGAGUAAGUUUCGACCUUGCAUGAAUGGUGUAACGACUAUCCCACUGUCUCCAGUAUUAAGUCAGCGAAAUUGAAUUCUCUGUGCAGAUGCAGAGUAUUAGCGGCUAGACGGAAAGACCCUAUGCACCUUUACUGCAUAUAUACUUUGUUAAAAAUUUUUUGAUUAAUAGGAUACAAAAUAGUUGUUUAACACCUUAAUUUAUGUUAAUUGUUUAGACAAUCUUGGAAUAUUUUGAUUCAAAAAAUUUCAGCUUAAGAAUUUUAAAUAGUAUAUUUGGUAGUUUCUCUGGGGCGGAGACCUCAUAAAAAGUAACUGAGGUGUACAAAGGCAUUUGAAGUUUUUAAAUAAACUUUUGGCGCGCAAUGGCUAAAAUAUGCUUGACAGAAAGACAGACAAGUCAAUCUGAGAUUUAAAAAGUCGGUCAUAGUGAUCCAAUAUUUUUACAUGGUAAAGGUAUUGCUCAACGGAUAAAAGGUACGCUAGGGAUAACAGGCUUAUGACUCCUGAGAGAUGAUAUCGACGGAGUCGUUUGGCACCUCGAUGUCGAUUGGUCACAUCCUGGUUAGGAAAAAAGUUCCAAGGGUAAGGCUGUUCGCCUUUUAAAGUGGCACCUGAAUUGGGUUCAGAACGUCGUGAGACAGUUCGGUUCCUAUCUACCGU